AUGUACUUAGGGAAGGUUGCUAUCAAUACAAGAUAAGGACCCAAGAUGCUAUUUCACAAGGAAUAUGAAGAAUUCUUGUGUAAAUGGGAAACGUGUCUCUGAGUCUGUCAAAAGCUAAAGGCCAUAGCAGAGUUGUAUACACAGGAAGGUACCCGGUGGGCCUCUUUAAGCCUGAUACCCAAGGUACUCCACCCAUGACACCUUUGUUCUCUUGUAUCCUCAGAUCCAGACAGCAAGGAGGGAGAUGAGGCCGUGGAUGGGUCUGUAGAUCCCUCCUGCUAUUUCUCAUAUCAACACUAGGGGGCACCCUUCCUUCCCUCCAGCUCUACCUGGCGGAGACAGAGCUUCCUUAUCACAGCAGCUAUUUGUUCAAGGGAAGAUUAUGUUUCUGGAGGGCUCCGGGUUUCUGCUGAGGGGUUCUUCUGUGCACGUGCAGGAUUUAAACACAGGGUUCUGCUUGGAACAGCAAACACCAACCGCGACCAGCCUCACGCCAGCCAUUCCGUUCCACUCCUGGGUACCAAUUAGUAUCAUUUGCACAGCUUCCAUCACUUCGGCUGACACUGUUAGUGAGCUAUUGCAGCUGUCUCCAGGACAAACAAGCUCACGCAAGCCCCUAACUAUCAUGAAGAAGAGAAACUUCAGUUUGAGUGGAAAUUAAAUUGCUCAAGAAUUUUGAUAAAGAGGUGUGUUCUCCAAGUAAUAGAAAAUCUUUUCUACAAACAAUCAACAAUGGAUUAAAUUUCAUGGUUCAAGAGGUCUUUUGGAGAGGAAUUUUCAGAAAAGAUC
rnacentral:lncRNA from 1 species